AUUAAGUUCCCCGCCUGGGGAGUACGGCCGCAAGGCUAAAACUCAAAGGAAUUGACGGGGACCCGCACAAGCGGCGGAGCAUGCGGAUUAAUUCGAUGCAACGCGAAGAACCUUACCAAGGCUUGACAUAUACGAGAACGGGCCAGAAAUGGUCAACUCUUUGGACACUCGUAAACAGGUGGUGCAUGGUUGUCGUCAGCUCGUGUCGUGAGAUGUUGGGUUAAGUCCCGCAACGAGCGCAACCCUCGUUCUAUGUUGCCAGCACGUAAUGGUGGGAACUCAUGGGAUACUGCCGGGGUCAACUCGGAGGAAGGUGGGGAUGACGUCAAAUCAUCAUGCCCCUUAUGUCUUGGGCUUCACGCAUGCUACAAUGGCCGGUACAAAGGGCUGCAAUACCGUGAGGUGGAGCGAAUCCCAAAAAGCCGGUCCCAGUUCGGAUUGAGGUCUGCAACUCGACCUCAUGAAGUCGGAGUCGCUAGUAAUCGCAGAUCAGCAACGCUGCGGUGAAUACGUUCCCGGGUCUUGUACACACCGCCCGUCAAGUCAUGAAAGUCGGUAACACCUGAAGCCGGUGGCCUAACCCUUGUGGAGGGAG
rnacentral:rRNA from 1 species